GGAAACCCAUUGCAAUAAACAGAGUACUCCAAUGUCAGGUCAAAAUUCAGCAUCCAUUUGCAGAGUGAACCCCUACCAAUAUCUCCAGAUUGUGGUCAAUCCUGAUGGCACAAUUACAAGAGACCCCAAUAGAUACUCAAAUUCUUCACCCUCAGUCGAUUCCACUCCUGUUCUUUCCCAAGACAUAUCCAUCAACCAAUCCAAAAAUACAUGGAUUCGUGUCUUUUUACCUGAUUCUUCCUUUACUUGCAGCAAACUUCCUCUCAUAGUGUACUUUCAUGGCGGAGGAUUCAUCAAUUGCAGUGCAGCCUCAACAAUUUUUCAUGAUUUUUGCUCAAACAUGGCCGUUGACAUUCCCGCUAUUGUUGUCUCUUCCAACUACCGCCUGGCUCCUGAGAAUCGUCUACCUGCGGCCUAUGAUGAUGCUGAAGAGGUAUUCCAGUGGAUCAAGAACAGCCAACUCGACUGGCUGAGAGAGCAUGCUGAUUAUAAUAGAUGUUUCAUAAUGGGUAGUAGUGCAGGGGCUAACAUAGCUUACCAUGCGGGCUUUCGUGUGGGCGGAGAAGUUGGUAGUCUUGAGCCGUUGAAGAUCAAAGGGCUGAUACUGCAUCAUCCAUUCAUCGGUGGAACCCAAAGGACGGAGUCAGAGCUGAGGCUUGUGAACGACCUUCAUUUGCCACUAAGUGUGAGUGAUCUCAUGUGGGACUUGUCCUUGCCAAUUGGGGUUGACCGUGAUCAUGAAUAUUGCAAUCCAACGGCAAAUGGUGGGUCGAAACUCUGGGAGAACAUGAGGUUGCUGGGAUGGAGAGUGUUGGUGACUGGAUGCGAUGGUGACCCAACGAUUGAUCGUCAGAUGGAGCUUGUGGAGAUGUUGAGGGCCAAAAAUGUAGGAAUUGCAAGCCAUUUUAGCGAGGGAGGUUAUCAUGUUGUGGAGCUUAAGGAGCCCUCCAAGUUCAAGACUCUGGUGUUGGUGUUGAAAGAAUUCAUGUUUUCUUCAGCAGAUGAUUAGAAAAU
rnacentral:misc_RNA from 1 species